GACGAGGUGGCUGAGUGGCUAAGGCGAUGGACUGCUAAUCCAUUGUGCUCUGCACACAUGGAUUCGAAUCCCAUCCUCGUUG